AUACUUACCUUGACAGAAUAUGUAAAUAAAUUGUAAUAAUACAGAGAAGAGUAACAUGGGCUCUACCCAAAGUCGGCUCUCAAAUGUGUGAGGCAUUCCAUAUUGUU